AUUGAACGCUGGCGGCAGGCCUAACACAUGCAAGUCGAGCGGAUGAAGGGAGCUUGCUCCUGGAUUCAGCGGCGGACGGGUGAGUAAUGCCUAGGAAUCUGCCUGGUAGUGGGGGAUAACGUCCGGAAACGGGCGCUAAUACCGCAUACGUCCUGAGGGAGAAAGUGGGGGAUCUUCGGACCUCACGCUAUCAGAUGAGCCUAGGUCGGAUUAGCUAGUUGGUGGGGUAAAGGCCUACCAAGGCGACGAUCCGUAACUGGUCUGAGGGGAUGAUCAGGCACACUGGAACCGAGACACGGUCCAGACUCCUACGGGAGGCAGCAGUGGGGAAUAUUGGCCAAUGGGCGAAAGCCUGAUCCAGCCAUGCCGCGUGUGUGAAGAAGGUCUUCGGAUUGUAAAGCACUUUAAGUUGGGGGGAAGGGCAGUAAGUUAAUACCUUGCUGUUUUGACGUUACCAACAGAAUAAGCACCGGCUAACUUCGUG
rnacentral:rRNA from 1 species